ACUUAAACAUAUGUCUAGCAAAUAACGAUUAGAAGUCUGUAAAAAAAUCGAAAUGGCCAAUUUUUGACUUUCAAUCUCGGCAAUUCAAUUAGAGCAUAAUCUUUUUUCUUUUUACAUUGGCUAAAGUUAAUAUAGAAAAUUAAUUCUUUUAUUUAUUAUUAUUAUUUUUGUGUGAGUUUUGAUUUUUUCAGAAAAAUAGAAAUUUCGCAAUCAAAUUACAGGGUGACCACAAAGUAUCCGCACACGAGACGGUUUCAUCUUGUGAAAAUAUAAGCAUAAAACCACUUAUAAUGGUGCGCGUUUCUCCUUAUCGUCAACUUUUCUCAAUGGCCGCCAUCGACCCCCGAUCUUAACCCGAUGGAUUUCUCAGUCUGGAGCGUCCUAGAAGCAAACGCAUGCCAAAAGCCGCAUAAAAAUAUUGAAAGUUUGAAAAAAUCACUACUGAAAGCUUGGGAUUCUCUGGACCCUGCCUACUUGCUCGCGUCGAAGCAUUCCCGAAACGCCUACAGGCCUGUUAUUUUGCUGAUGGAGAAAAAUUCGAAUUCAAUCUUUGAAUCAUAAUUGUUAUAGUUCAAUAAAUGUUUUAAAAUAAAAUUUGUGUUCCAAAUACUUUCUA